rnacentral:misc_RNA from 1 species
UCUCCGUUGGUGAACCAGCGGAGGGAUCAUUACAGAGUUUUCACAACUCCCAACCCUUGCGAACCGUACCCAUUCUGUUCUCGUUGCUUCCGGCGGGCCCUACGAACCUUUAUAUCUCAACCACCAGAAACCGUCUGAGAAAACAAACAAAAUAAUCAAAACUUUCAACAACGGAUCUCUUGGCUCUG